CACUCCUACGGGAGGCAGCAGUGGGGAAUUUUGGACAAUGGGCGAAAGCCUGAUCCAGCAAUGCCGCGUGAGUGAAGAAGGCCUUCGGGUUGUAAAGCUCUUUUGUCAGGGAAGAAACGGUGAGAGCUAAUAUCUCUUGCUAAUGACGGUACCUGAAGAAUAAGCACCGGCUAACUACGUGCCAGCAGCCGCGGUAAUACGUAGGGUGCAAGCGUUAAUCGGAAUUACUGGGCGUAAAGCGUGCGCAGGCGGUUUUGUAAGUCUGAUGUGAAAUCCCCGGGCUCAACCUGGGAAUUGCAUUGGAGACUGCAAGGCUAGAAUCUGGCAGAGGGGGGUAGAAUUCCACGUGUAGCAGUGAAAUGCGUAGAUAUGUGGAGGAACACCGAUGGCGAAGGCAGCCCCCUGGGUCAAGAUUGACGCUCAUGCACGAAAGCGUGGGGAGCAAACAGGAUUAGAUACCCCGGUAGUCCCAUGAU
rnacentral:rRNA from 1 species